rnacentral:rRNA from 1 species
AACGAACGCUGACGGCAUGCCUAACACAUGCAAGUCGAACGAAGUCUUCGGACUUAGUGGCGCACGGGUGCGUAACGCGUGGGAAUCUGCCCUUGGGUACGGAAUAACUCAGAGAAAUUUGUGCUAAUACCGUAUAAUGUCUUCGGACCAAAGAUUUAUCGCCCAAGGAUGAGCCCGCGUAAGAUUAGCUAGUUGGUGGGGUAAAAGCCUACCAAGGCGACGAUCUUUAGCUGGUCUGAGAGGAUGAUCAGCCACACUGGGACUGAGACACGGCCCAGACUCCUACGGGAGGCAGCAGUGGGGAAUAUUGGACAAUGGGCGAAAGCCUGAUCCAGCAAUGCCGCGUGAGUGAUGAAGGCCCUAGGGUUGUAAAGCUCUUUUACCAGGGAUGAUAAUGACAGUACCUGGAGAAUAAGCUCCGGCUAACUCCGUG